rnacentral:tRNA from 1 species
GGGGAUUUAGCUCAGUGGCUCAAGUGCUUGCCUGGUAAGCAAAAGGUCAUGAGUUUGAUUCCCAGUACCCCCCA